GUUUGAUCCUGGCUCAGGACGAACGCUGGCGGCGUGCCUAAUGCAUGCAAGUCGCACGCACCGUGCUUGCACGGUGAGUGGCGCACGGCUGAGGAACACGUGGGUACCUGCCCAUCCGUGGGGGAUAACAGCGCGAAAGCGUUGCUAAUCCCGCAUACGCUCCCCUCGGGGAGGAAAGCGGCAACGCGCGGACGGAGGGGCCUGCGACCCAUCAGGUUGUUGGCGGGGUAACGGCCCACCAAGCCGCUGACGGGUAGCUGGUCUGUGAGGACAACCAGCCAGACUGGGACUGAGACACGGCCCAGACUCCUACGGGAGGCAGCAGCAAGGGAUUUUCCACAAUGGGCGCAAGCCUGAUGGAGCAACGCCGCGUGCAGGACGACGGCCUUCGGGUUGUAAACUGCUUUUCGGGGGGACGAUACGGACGGUACCCCCUGAUGAUAAGCCACGGCUAACUCCCCCUGCUUAGCCUGACAAGCCGCGGUAAGGUUGCAUAGACUACAGUUGUCCGGACUGACUGGGCAGAUUAGAAGCGCACGCAGGUGGUCGUGUAAUUAGUGUGGUAGUGAAAUCGCUCGUCUUAACCGGGCGAGGCCGUUGCAAACGGCACGACUCGAGCUCGGGAGAGGUCGGUGGAAAUUGCAGGGAGGAGUAGUGAAAUGCUUUGUUUCACGGCAGGAACACUCAGGUCGAAAGGCAGCCGACUGGCCCGUGUCUGACACUCAGGUGCGACAGCGUGGGGAGCGAACUGGGAUUAGAUUCCCAGGUAUUCCCCGCCGUAAACGAUGGAUGCUCAGUCUUCCCGUCGGUUUCGAUGUCGGGAUGGUGACCAAGCCUACUCGAUACGCAUCCCGCCUGUGAACUUCAGGCCGAUCAAGGCUAAAACUCAAAGGAAUUGACGGGGACCCGCACAAGCAGCGGAGCGUGUGGUUUAAUUCGACGCAACGCGAACAACCUUACCCAGGUUUGACAUGCCACUGCAUCCGGCGGAAACGUCGGCGCCUUCGAGGGUGUGGCACCGGUGCUGCAUGGCUGUCGUCAGCUCGUGUCGUGAGAUGUUGGGUUCAGUCCCGCAACGAGCGCAACCCCCGCGGCCAGUUACUUGUGUCUGGCCGGACUGCCCUUCGGGGAGGAAGGUGGGGAUGAUGUCAAGUCCGCAUGGCCCAUACGCCUGGGGCGACACACACGCUACAAUGGCACCGACAGUGCGCCGCGAGCCGGCAACGACAAGCGAAUCGCCAAAGGGUGUCCCAGUACAGAUUGGGGACUGUAACUCGUCCCCAUGAAGGCGGAGUUGCUAGUAACCGCGCAUCAGCAUGGUGCGGUGAAUACGUACCCGGGUCUUGUACACACCGCCCGUCACGUCAUGGGAGUUGUCAAUGCCUGAAGUCCGUGUGCCAACCGCAAGGGGGCAGCGGGCGAGGGCAGGGGCAGCGACUGGGACGAAGUCGUAACAAGGUAGCCG
rnacentral:rRNA from 1 species